CUAUAUUGAUUGAGCCCAUUUUCGAGGUGCAUUGAUGCCGGGGCCCAAUACUGUAGAGCUUCUGUUUAUUGUUGUGCACAAAGAUGAAACAACCAAUAAAUAAGUUUUUUUUUGGAAUGUGGAUUUAGAGUAUAUGCUAAAAAGAAUAAUUCUAACGCCAAUUAUCUGAAAUUAAGUAUAUUAAGCAUCAAUCGUGAUUACUUAAAUGUAGUUCAUUAAAUAAUUUUAUUUUAUUUUUAAAUAGAAUCAGUAGCAGAUUGACAAAUUACCUAAGAAGUUUUAGAGGAUAUCUCAUAAGAAUUUUCAUUUGAAAACCUGUUUUUUUUUUUUCCAAAAUAACAUUCUCUUAUAAAUUUAGGGUUGGCGAUGUUCUAACAAUCGGCUUUGUCUUUCUAAUGUUGGACAUAGUUUACUCUACUUCGAAAUUUUCUCACGUUUUAUAGUUU
rnacentral:lncRNA from 1 species